AGAUACCCUGUUACUUAUAAUUAAAAAAUUUUGGAAUAGUAAUAAUAAUGAAAUUUAACGGAUUUGGCGGCAAGAUAGCCAUUUAGAGGAACCUGCCCUAUAAACGAUGAACCACGAAAUACUUUGCUUUUACUUGUUAUCAGUUUGUAUACCGCUGUUGUCAGUCAGUUUUUUCAGAAAUCUUUCUAUAAUGAUAAAAUCAAUUACUUCAAGUAAAGGUGCAGCUUAUGUAAAAGAUAGAGGUGGGUUACAUUUAUAAGAUUAAAACGAAUAAAGAUUUUGAAAAAUCUUUUGAAGGUGGAUUUAAAUGUAAAGUUUAAAAAAACU
rnacentral:rRNA from 1 species